rnacentral:rRNA from 1 species
UACGUAGGGCGCGAGCGUUGUCCGGAAUUAUUGGGCGUAAAGAGCUCGUAGGCGGUUUGUCGCGUCGGUUGUGAAAACCCAAGGCUCAACCUUGGGCCUGCAAUCGAUACGGGCAGACUAGAGUACUGCAGGGGAGACUGGAAUUCCUGGUGUAGCGGUGAAAUGCGCAGAUAUCAGGAGGAACACCAAUGGCGAAGGCAGGUUACUGGUACGCAACUGACGCUGAGGCACGAAAGCGUGGGGAGCAAACAGG